AUUGAACGCUGGCGGCAUGCCUUACACAUGCAAGUCGAACGGCAGCACGGGGGCAACCCUGGUGGCGAGUGGCGAACGGGUGAGUAAUACAUCGGAACGCGUCCCGUCGUGGGGGAUAACCAGUCGAAAGACUGGCUAAUACCGCAUGAGAUCGAGAGAUGAAAGCGGGGGACCGCAAGGCCUCGCGCGAUGGGAGCGGCCGAUGCCGGAUUAGCUAGUUGGCGGGGUAAAAGCCCACCAAGGCGACGAUCCGUAGCUGGUUUGAGAGAACGACCAGCCACACUGGGACUGAGACACGGCCCAGACUCCUACGGGAGGCAGCAGUGGGGAAUUUUGGACAAUGGGCGCAAGCCUGAUCCAGCCAUGCCGCGUGUGAAGAAGGCCUUCGGGUUGUAAAGCACUUUCGGACGGAACGAAAUCGCGCGGGCGAAUACCCCGCGCGGAUGACGGUACCGUAAGAAGAAGCACCGGCUAACUACGUGCCAGCAGCCGCGGUAA
rnacentral:rRNA from 1 species